UUCACACUGUCUCACGGUGAAACCGCGAAUGGCUCAUUAAAUCAGUCGAGGUUCCUUAGAUGACACGAUCCUACUUGGAUAACUGUGGCAAUUCUAGAGCUAAUACAUGCUUAUCAAGCUCCGACCCUCGUGGAAAGAGCGCUUUUAUUAGUUCAAAACCAAUCGUAGUUCCUCUUCGGAGGGCUGCGUCCUUUUUGGUGACUCUGGAUAACUUUGUGCUGAUCGCAUGGCCUUGCGCCGGCGACGCAUCUUUCAAAUGUCUGCCCUAUCAAAUGUCGAUGGUACGUGAUAUGCCUACCAUGUUUGUAACGGGUAACGGGGAAUCAGGGUUCGAUUCCGGA
rnacentral:rRNA from 1 species